rnacentral:snoRNA from 1 species
UAUUAGCUCUAGUACUGAGUUCAUCAUGACGAAAAAACAUAACCGAUUCACCUUGGAGAACUGAU